CCCCUUUUCCUUUCGAUAUUCAUAUGAGUCUUAUGCUAUCAGUUAAAGAUAAUUGGCUCCUUAGGGGCAGAGUUUUCUGAGAACCACAGUCCAAUCCAGCAGUUGACAUUCAAUCUAUAAGUAGCACAGAGCCUCAGAUGCCUGCUGGUCAAUAUGUUCAGUCCUUUCGAGUGUUUGUAGCAACAUGGAAUGUAGGAGGGAAAUCUCCUCAUAAUGGCCUAAAUCUGGACGAUUUUCUUCAGGUUAACAAUGAAUCAGACAUAUAUGU